CCUCUUAGUGAGUUGUGGACACAUGCAUUUAGUCCUCAUGCUGAUGCAAAACAUAUCAUGACAAGCAAAAAUCUUAAUAGUUUGGUAUCAACCUUUGAGAUCUACUAUUUUGCAGUCCAGCAACUAUCAGUCCACGAGGAAUGACUUAUCAAGCUGUUGGAAAUAUGAUUUGAUAACUUAGGAAAUACCGAUCCUAAGUAUCAAUGAUUAUUUCAUUCAAUCGGUAAUUGACUUGGUAAAAUAAGAAUUAGAAUCAAUGUAUAUUUCUUUCUUGUUUUACACUUUACCCUUACUGUAAUGAACGUGUACAAGAAACAUACUGAAAUACAAAGCUCCAGUUUUCCUCUCCACUUCUUUUCAUAUUCUGUCAUGGUAUCAGAGCACUCUAUUCUAGCCUAAGCUUCCGCAUCUUCAAAUUGCCUUUCGGUUCUUUUCUCGUCUAUUGUUGUGAUCUCAACCCUGCAAAACAAACCAACCACCGAACAGGAAUUUUCUAUUAUGUGCUCAGAAAAAACCUUGAUAAAAACAAACAAUGGAGGAAACCCCCAACUCACCCCAUCAAAACUCGAAUCCAGCACUAGUCGACCCAAUAGAAGAAGGCGCAAUACCUGCUCAAUCAUCAGUUACGACUUCAUCAAUGCCUGCUCAACCAUUUGUUAUGGUUCCAUCAAUACAAGGACCAAUACAGGGACCGACUCAAUGACCUCAUCUCGGCUGGUACCCCUUUCAAGGCCAAUGGGCCGCUGGAUCAAGUGACAAGUCGGGCUGGGCAAGAAUGGAUCCUGGAUCCGAAUCCAUCCCAACGGAUCCCUACCCAAUUCCACAACCUGAUUUCCAACCUGGUUUUCUGCCCUACGUGUUUCCAGUCAACGGCGGCCAUCCCAAGCCUGGAGAUCCUCUUCACACGUCGACGGUCGACAGAUCGGAGCUCCGACUCAUCAACUUGCAGCUCACCAAACAGGACAAUUACAAUGCUUGGGCUCGAGACCUCCGGCAAGCGCUUGUAAAAAAGGACAAGGAUGGUUUCCUUGAUAGAACCGUCCCCUAUUCGACCAACGAACGAUUGCAACGAUUUUGGAGAAAAUGCAACCAAUUAAUGCAUACCUGGAUUGGAGAUUGUCUCGCUCCGAAAGUUGCAACUAGGCUACCGCCAACUGAGGACUCGAAGACCUUUUGGGCGAACAUUUGAGAGAUGUAUGGGCAUCUUGAUCCGGCGAAGCUCUUUACUAUCACUCAGGCCAUUUCAGAACUGAGAAAAGGAAAUCAAUCAGUCACUACCUGCUUCAAUCGACUCUCGACUCUCUGGAAUGAGCUCGAGACGGCUGAGGAACGUCUCGAGGGACCUAAAGCAACGUUGCAAUAAUACCGAAAAAUUAAGGAACGGGAGAAAGUGACUCGGUAUCUACUUAUUUUGAACGACACAUACUCACCCUUUCGAUCACAAAUCUUGGCGAUGGACCCAUUACCUUCGCUCGGCCAAAUCUACCAACUGGCAGUCCAAGAGGAAAGCCAACGGCAAGCC
rnacentral:lncRNA from 1 species